GUCUAUGGCCAUAGCACACUGAACACAUUCAAUCUCCUCUGAUCUCGGAAGCUGUUCAGGGUUGGGCCUGGUUAGUACUUGGGUGGGAAACCAUCACCCAAACAAAGAGACCAUCAUGGAGU
rnacentral:rRNA from 1 species